UGCACACAAAUCUGUAAAAUAAACACAUCAAACCUCAUUUUGCAUUUAAAGCUGUAAACAGGCCAAAUAACAAUAAAUCACCAAUCACACUAGACUCGGGCUCCAUUAGCUACCUUAAGCAAUUUCACACAUUCGUUAAUUCAAGAAAUACCGUUUUAUCAUUUUGAACUUUAAUACCGUGAUAGGAAAUAGGGUGAGGGGUCCUUACUUGUUUUCGGGAUCCGAAUACGAUUCACAGUGCGCCUGCAGGCCGUCCCUAAUUUUC
rnacentral:lncRNA from 1 species